GACGAACGCUGGCGGCGUGCUUAACACAUGCAAGUCGAACGGUAAGGCCCUUCGGGGUACACGAGUGGCGAACGGGUGAGUAACACGUGGGUGAUCUGCCCUGCACUUCGGGAUAAGCCUGGGAAACUGGGUCUAAUACCGGAUAGGACCACUGCCUGCAUGGGUGGUGGUGGAAAGCUUCUGCGGUGUGGGAUGGGCCCGCGGCCUAUCAGCUUGUUGGUGGGGUGAUGGCCUACCAAGGCGACGACGGGUAGCCGGCCUGAGAGGGUGACCGGCCACAGUGGGACUGAGAUAGGGCCCAGACUCCUACGGGGGGCAGGAGUGGGGAAUAUUGCACAAUGGGCGCAAGCCUGAUGCAGCGAAGCCGCGUGAGGGAUGACGGCCUUCGGGUUGUAAACCUCUUUCAGCACCGACGAAGCGCAAGUGACGGUAGGUGCAGAAGAAGGACCGGCCAACUACGUGCCAGCCGCCGCAGUAA
rnacentral:rRNA from 1 species